AUUUUUGUGUGUAUGCAUACCGUUAACAUAUCAGAGUUCUGAGUGAAUUUUUCUUAAGAUAGGCAAAGGCCAUGUAUUGAUUACAUACAGGCUAGUAAUUGUUUAUUAAAAACUAAAAAACGGACUUCCGGUAUGACGGAGACGUGAGUAACAGCAUAAUUUGUAGGCUCCCAGGUGGUCUUAUUCCCCCUGAAGAAUUAUACAACUUUUUGAUAAACUAGCCGUGGAACGUAGCAUGAAAGGGGGGAAUAAACAGAAAGCAAAAGGAAAAUCUCGGCAAAACGUGGAGACGAGUGAUUUUUCAUCGAGUGACAGUGUGAAAUUAGGUUGCGGGGCUAACGAAGCUAGUGUGCACACGGACAUGGAGGCUAUCCAAGCUAACAUCAUCGCUGAAAUACCGGCGGGCCGAGUGGAUGUGAAAGAACUGACUGAAAACAUUGGACAACUGAAAAGUGAACUCGGCGAUUUCAGAGGAGAGGUUAGUCUGAAACUAAAUACUAUUGCCACUGACCUAAAAAACAUAACGGAUCGAGUGGAACGGGGGAGCACCGAAACUAAAGAGUUGCUGAUCCACGCCUUGGAACAACAAGACUCUUUACAAGCGAAAUUGACGGACCUGGAGGCACGUUCGCGUAGAAAUAAUAUACGUAUCCACGGCAUUCCUGAAGACGCCGAGGGUGAAAAUGUCCAGGACUUUAUCACAAACUUUUGAAAGCUGAGCUGCACCUUCCUGACGCCUCUCUCGGCAUCCAACGCUGCUACCGGUCCCUCGGAGCCAAACCCCCCGCGGGCUCUAGUCCAAUUUCGAUCCUUAUCUAUUUCUUGGAGUAUAAAACCAAAGAGAUGAUACUCCCAAUGCUUGGAAAAAAAGACAAAUCUUUUACGACGGCAAACGAGUGUUUUUCGAGCAAGACUAUCCAACCGAAAUAAUAAUGAAAAGAAAGGCGUACUCUACCAUCGGAAAAACAUUAAAAGAAAAGACUCUCCGUUUCCAGACUCUCCACCCAGCCCGACUCAGAGUUCACUUCAAAACCGGCCCCGUUGUUUACAACAGCGCAUCAGAGGCAACAGCUGACUUGAUAAAAAGAGGACUACUCCCAGAUACCACCGGUGAAUGUCUCCCUACUGAUGAUGCACCCAUGACGAGAGCCAGUCAGCCGCCCUGGGAAACUGCAGGUGCAGCUUCACGCCGACACCGGGACAGGAGGCUGAGAGACAUCCGGGAAAAACUGAAAGGAUUUCGGCACAACACUAGCACUUCGUAAGAACUUUCCCAUGUUAUAAAUGAAUGAGGGAUCACUCAAAUAGCAUAAGUAAGUAAAGUGUGAAACACAAAGGUAAAGCCAUAUUUCCUGUUAGGAUUGUAUAAUGAUUAAAACUAACCACCUUGGG
ensembl:lncRNA